CAGUUGCAAGCGUUGGGGGACAGCUGGUGCGCCCCGAUUAAACCGAUUCAUUUUGCCCGGCGCGGCAGGGCACCGAAGGGCCUCUGGCUGGUGACUGGCACUCUGCGGGGCGCCCGGAACCAAUUUCCGGAGGGUGAUGGAUUUCUUCUCCUUGGCUGCUCUCAAGCUGCGCUUCCUUCUGUGGCGGGGAGCAAAGCACUUUCAGAAGAGCCCGUCUCCUGGGACUGACCCCCGGGGAGGGGGCUUCGGAAGGAAACAUCCGGGCCAGGCCCACCUGUGAGUGACGGCAGGUGGAAGAAAUGAACACAUCCCUCCCCUCCGGACCCCGCCGGCCGGAACCAGGGGAUGUUGGACGUGGCUCCUCCCCUCUUAAUAUAAAAGACGCCUGACCUCUAACGCAGAUCAAUUGGUCACGUCUCCCUCAGAGGCCUUCCUGGACCAGUUGGGCGGCGGGAGCAUCUUCUGACCUUGAGAAGCGGGCUGAGGGACUAGAGCCUGUCUGGGCUGAUCCCAGGAGAGGCGCAACAGCUGGCGCCUGACUGCCUGCACCUGCUGGGGGGUGGGGGCGGGUGGACGCUGGAGACGGAUCUGGGGACACUUAAUGGGGUAGAGAGCACUCCACAGCCUUUUAAGGGGAGGAGGUGACAGGGCUGAUGGAAGUGAUUUCCAAUCUGAACAAGGCCAGACGUGACCACCGUUUGGAGGUGGCAGCCCGCAAACCCAGCACGGAGGGUCCGAAGUGAACGCGAAUCCCCCUAAAACCAAGUCCCUCUGCGGAGUUUAUGAUUCCAACACCUGUUCCCCUCAACACGGAGGCGCAUCAAAGAAAAGGGGGCGUGGAAACCAAGCAGGACCAAGCCUUUCUGUGUCCCCCGUUCCUGGAUUGCAGGGACAAGGCUUCAGCCUCCAAGACCUUCCCUGAGUUCCAAAGAGCAGAUUCAAACCAUUAGUAAUUAGGCCAGGAAGGGGAUGCUGAAGCGAUGGAGGAGCCCCCAAGAAACAAUAAAGCAGCAUU
rnacentral:lncRNA from 1 species